rnacentral:rRNA from 1 species
GAUGAACGCUAGCGACAGGCCUAACACAUGCAAGUCGAGCGAAGCCUUCGGGCUUAGCGGCGGACGGGUGAGUAACGCGUGGGAACGUGCCCUUUGGUACGGAAUAGCCCCGGGAAACUGGGAGUAAUACCGUAUGUGGUCGAGAGACGAAAGAUUUAUCGCCAAAGGAUCGGCCCGCGUUGGAUUAGGUAGUUGGUGGGGUAAUGGCCUACCAAGCCGACGAUCCAUAGCUGGUUUGAGAGGAUGAUCAGCCACACUGGGACUGAGACACGGCCCAGACUCCUACGGGAGGCAGCAGUGGGGAAUCUUAGACAAUGGGGGAAACCCUGAUCUAGCCAUGCCGCGUGAUCGAUGAAGGCCUUAGGGUUGUAAAGAUCUUUCAGUGGGGAAGAUAAUGACUGUACCCACAGAAGAAGCCCCGGCUAACUCCGUGCCAGCCGCCGCUGUAACAC